rnacentral:rRNA from 1 species
CGGACGUGAGGAGCCUGCCUCGAAAAGGGGGACAACAGUUGGAAACGACUGCUAAUACCGCAUAAGCCCACAGCUCGGCAUCGAGCAGAGGGAAAAGGAGUGAUCCGCUUUGAGAUGGCCUCGCGUCCGAUUAGCUAGUUGGUGAGGUAAUGGCCCACCAAGGCGACGAUCGGUAGCCGGACUGAGAGGUUGAACGGCCACAUUGGGACUGAGACACGGCCCAG